rnacentral:lncRNA from 1 species
ACUUGGGGCCACUGAGGAUUACUGGGGGCUACUGGGGGGCUACUGGGGGUUACUGGGGGUUACUGGGGAUCACUGGGGGCUACUGAAGGCUACCGGGGGCUACUGAGGGAGCACUGGGGGCUACUGGGGGCCACUAGGGCUGCAUGGGGCCGUCCCCAUUGGGGUCCUCCAUGUCCCAUUGGGGUCUCCAUGUCCCUUUGGGGUCUCCGUGUCCCCAUAUGUCCCCAUGGAUCCCCAUUGAGUUCCUCCAUGUCCCCAUGGGUCCCAUUGGGGUCCCCAUGUCCCCAUAUGUCCCCAUGGGUCCCAUUGGGGUCUUCAUGUCCCACUGACGUCCCCAUGGAUCCCAUUGGGGUCUCCAUGUCCCACUGAUGUCCCCAUGGGUCCCACUGAGGUCCUCCACGUCCCCACGUCAUCGAUCACUCUUUUAUUGAACACCUCCUACAAAAAGCCCCCCAUAAUCCCCCCCAUCCCUCCCAUAUCCCCCCAAAGACCCCCCCAGCCCCCCAAUCACUCCCACUGAGCAAUGGCCGCCAUCAUGGCCACCCCGGCCAGCAGCGCGGCCAGCUGCAGCAGGGACUGCAUGGGGACGUCCUCUCGGAGCAGCUGGGGGAGGACGGCCACCGUCCCCACGUAGAUGAAGCCCCCCGCCGUGAAGGGGAGGAUCCAGCGCGUGGCUGCGGCCCCCACCCCUUCGGCCAGCAGGGAACAGCCCGCGCCCCCCACCGCCCCCAGGGCGGUCAGCAGCUGCAGGCGCAUCGCCUGGCGGGGGGCAAUGAGAUGGGGGCCCGACUGCACCAAGAUGGCGAGGUCGCCGACCUCGUGCGGGACCUCGUGGAGGAGCACCGUCAACGCCGUCACCGUCCCGACGGCCGGGCCGGCCACGAAGGACGCCCCGAUGGCCAAACCGUCCGUCACGUUGUGAGCCACGUCGGCUGCCAGGUUCAGGUAGCCAGAAACCUGCAUGGCUGCGGGGUGGAGGGGACAACGGGGUCCACAGUGGUGGCCAAAAUGGCGGCCCCAAUGGUGGCCCGAUAGUGACCCCAGUGGUGGCCCCAGUGGUGACUCCGAUGGUGGCCCGAUAGUGACCCCUGUGGUGGUCCCGAUGGUGGCCCGAUAGUGACCCCAA